rnacentral:misc_RNA from 1 species
UCUCCGUUGGUGAACCAGCGGAGGGAUCAUUACCGAGUUUACAACUCCCAAACCCCUGUGAACAUACCAUUUGUUGCCUCGGCGGUGCCUGCUUCGGCAGCCCGCCAGAGGACCCAAACCCUUGAUUUUAUACAGUAUCUUCUGAGUAAAUGAUUAAAUAGAUCAAAACUUUCAACAACGGAUCUCUUGGUUCUG